CCUGGGGAGUACGGCCGCAAGGUUAAAACUCAAAUGAAUUGACGGGGGCCCGCACAAGCGGUGGAGCAUGUGGUUUAAUUCGAUGCAACGCGAAGAACCUUACCUAGUCUUGACAUCCACAGAACUUUUCAGAGAUGAGUUGGUGCCUUCGGGAACUGUGAGACAGGUGCUGCAUGGCUGUCGUCAGCUCGUGUUGUGAAAUGUUGGGUUAAGUCCCGCAACGAGCGCAACCCUUAUCCUUUGUUGCCAGCGGUUCGGCCGGGAACUCAAAGGAGACUGCCAGUGAUAAACUGGAGGAAGGUGGGGAUGACGUCAAGUCAUCAUGGCCCUUACGACCAGGGCUACACACGUGCUACAAUGGCACAUACAAAGAGAAGCGACCUCGCGAGAGCAAGCGGACCUCAUAAAGUAUGUCGUAGUCCGGAUUGGAGUCUGCAACUCGACUCCAUGAAGUCGGAAUCGCUAGUAAUCGUGGAUCAGAAUGCCACGGUGAAUACGUUCCCGGGCCUUGUACACACCGCCCGUCACACCAUGGGAGUGGGUUGCAAAAGAAGUAGGUAGC
rnacentral:rRNA from 1 species